UACGUAGGGGCCUAGCGUUGUCCGGAUUUAUUGGGCGUAAAGAGCUCGUAGGCGGUUCGGUAAGUCAGGUGUGAAAUCUCCACGCUCAACGUGGAGGCGCCACCUGAAACUGCCGUGACUCGAGUCCGGUAGGGGAGUGUGGAAUUCCUGGUGUAGCGGUGAAAUGCGUAGAUAUCAGGAGGAACACCGGUGGCGAAGGCGGCCUUCUGGACGGCUACUGACACUGAGACGCGAAAGCGUGGGGAGCAAACAGG
rnacentral:rRNA from 1 species